rnacentral:rRNA from 2 species
UGGGGCAACCCCCCCGACUUUAACGUCGGGGUAUCUGCUCGCAAGAGUAGAUAGGGAACGCGGGGAACUGAAACAUCUCAGUACCCGCAGGAAAAGAAAUCAUAUGAGAUUCCGUGAGUAGCGGCGAGCGAAAGCGGAGAAGUCUAAACCCUGCAGUAGAGCGCAAGCUCUCACUACAGGGUGUUGCGGAGCCACAGUAGGACGUUAGAUUUUAUAGCAGAAUAGCCUGGAACGGUUAUCCAUAGAAGGUGAAAGACCUGUAUGCACAAUGAAAACUAACUCUGGUGGAUCUUCCAAGUACCACGAGGCACGGCAAACCUUGUGGGAAUCUGGGUCGGUCACGAUCCAAGACUAAAUACUCAAACUGACCGAUAGUGAACUAGUACCGUGAGGGAAAGGUGAAAAGAACCCCGAGAGGGGUGUGAAAUAGUACCUGAAACCAUUAGCUAACAAACAGACAGAGUCAUGUACCAUGCGCAAGCACUGAACGUGAUGAUGUCGUGCCUAUUGAAGAAUGAGUCAGCGAGUGUCUGCACAGGAGUUGCUUAAUCUCUUAUGGAGAGGAGGCGAAGUGAAAGCGAGCUUGAAUAGAGCGUUUAUUCCGUGCGGACAACCCGAAACCGGGUGAGCUAACCUUGAGCAGGGUGAAGCUGGUCGAAAGACUAGUGGAGGCCCGAACUCGUCGUCGGUGAAAUGGCGUGAGAUGACUUGAGGUUAGGGGUAAUAUGCCAAUCGAACCCGGAGAUAGCUGGUUCUCCCCGAGAUAUAUCUAGGUAUAGCCUCAGCGUAUACUACGUGGGGUAGAGCGACUGGAUAGUUGCAGGAUUCGCAAGAGUGUUGUAAUUAACCAAACUCCGAAUACGCGUAGUUUAAGCUGGGAGUCAGUCCCACUCGGAUAAGCGAGCGUGGGCGAGAGGGAAACAUCCCAGAUUCUCGAUUAAGGUUCCUAAAUAAUAGUUAAGUGGUAAAGGCCGUUUAGUUUCCAACACAGCAGGGAGGUUGGCUCAGAAGCAGCCAUCCUUUAAAGAGUGCGUAACAGCUCACCUGAAUAGUUCCCGAUUUAUCGGGAUUGGAGACUAUGCGCCUAAAAUGAUUCGGAGCUCAAACUAUUUACCGAAAUCAGAAAUUUUGAUACCAAUUUAUUGAUAUUGAAGUGGUAGGGGAGCGUUUUUGGUGCAUUGAAGCCCAGUUGUAAGACUGAGUGGAGCGCCAAGAAGUGAGAAUGCUGACAUGAGUAGUGUUUUCUUUCGGUGAAAACCCGGAAUGCCAAAUGUCCAAGGUUUCCUCAGCAACGUCAAUCGGCUGAGGGUUAGUCGGAUCUAAGCGCGUGCCGUUUCAGGCAUGAGCGAUGUACAAGCAGCUAAUAUUCUGCUACUGUUUAUAACGCGUUAUCACUUAAGUUCUGACGAAGUAUGAAAAAUGGAGCCUCCUAUAGGGGGUGCAAGUAGUGAGUCUUUGCCGUAAGGUAAUUGCGAACUGUGAUGCUUAUUUUGAUCGCAAGAUUGAGAAAGUCCAUACGUUUAUGUUUCCGGGAAAAAUUGCUUAAGGAGUGUUAUAAAUAUCCGUACCGACAACCAACAAAGGUGGACUGGUCGAGUAGACUAAGGUAUACGAGUGAUCGUGAUUUAAGGAACUCUGCAUAAAAAGCUGAGCGUAAGUUUUCGAGAUGCUCUGCCCCGACGUCACGUCGGGGCCCCAGCAAAUGAUUAUCAGCCGACUGUUUAACUAAAACACAGGUUCCUGCCAACCCCAAAAGGGGACGUAUAGGAGCUGAUGCCUGUCCAGUACUGGUAAGUCAACCAUUGUGGCUGACUGUAGCGAGCAAUCUCUACAAAAGGUCGCGGUGUAAGCUCCAGUGAACGACAGCUCUAACCCUGAGAGUUCUAAGGUAGCGUAGCCCCUUGUCGGGUAAGUUCCGACCCGCAUGAAAGGUAUAACGAGUUGAUAACUGUCUUAAAUCACCGCUCGACGAAGUUGAAAUGGCUGUGAAGAUGCGGCCUACUUGCACUUGGACAAAAAGACCCCGAGAGCUUUACUGAAUUUUGACAUUGGUGGAAGGAGAAUAACUGUUGAGAGUAGGAGGGAGCCCGCCGCAAGGCGGACGACGAUGAAACACCUCUCUUUCUUCUUUUUUCACCUUAUCUUCGCAAGAGGAAACAGUGUUAGAUGGUCAGUUUAACUGGGGCGGUUUCCUCCAAAAUAGUAACGGAGGAGCGCAAAGGUCAGCUUAUUCCGGAUGGAAAUCGGAAUGUACGUGUAUACGCAUAAGCUGGCUUGACUGUGAGGAUGACUAUCCAAUCAGAUGCGAAAGCAGGCGUAAGUGAUCCCCCGAUCCGCUGUGAUAGCGGGCGGGGCUUAACGGAUAAAAGCUACCUCGGGGAUAACAGGCUGGUGACGUCCGAGAGUUCAUAUCGACGACGUCGUUCGGCACCUCGAUGUCGGCUCAUCGCAUCCUGGAGCUGGAGUCGGUUCCAAGGGUUGGGCUGUUCGCCCAUUAAAGCGGUACGCGAGCUGGGUUCAGAACGUCGUGAGACAGUUCGGACUCUAUCCAGUGCAAGCGAUUAGAUUUUUGAGGGGAGUCGUCUACAGUACGAGAGGACCUAGAUGAGGAAAUCCCUGGUGUAUCGGUUGUCCCACAAGGGCAUCGCCGAGUAGCUACAUUUCUAAACGAUAAGCACUGAAAGCAUAUCAAGUGCGAAGCGAACCCCAAGAUAAGAAAUCCUUAUAGUCCGCCGGUAGAUGACCGGUUUGAUAGGUGUUCGGUGUAAGUCCAGCAAUGGAUUAAGCCAUGACAUACUAAUGGACGAAGUUU